rnacentral:rRNA from 1 species
GACGGAGGAUGCAAGCGUUAUCCGGAAUGAUUGGGCGUAAAGCGUCCGCAGGUGGCAGUUCAAGUCUGCUGUCAAAGACCGGGGCUUAACUUCGGAAAGGCAGUGGAAACUGAACAGCUAGAGUAUGGUAGGGGCAGAGGGAAUUCCUGGUGUAGCGGUGAAAUGCGUAGAUAUCAGGAAGAACACCGGUGGCGAAGGCGGGUCUCUGGGCCGAUACUGACGCUGAGGAGCGAAAGCGUGGGGAGCGAACAGG